rnacentral:rRNA from 1 species
UAGGGAAUCUUCGGCAAUGGACGAAAGUCUGACCGAGCAACGCCGCGUGAGUGAAGAAGGUUUUCGGAUCGUAAAACUCUGUUGUUAGAGAAGAACAAGGACGUUAGUAACUGAACGUCCCCUGACGGUAUCUAACCAGAAAGCCACGGCUAACUACGUGCCAGCAGCCGCGGUAAUACGUAGGUGGCAAGCGUUGUCCGGAUUUAUUGGGCGUAAAGCGAGCGCAGGCGGUUUCUUAAGUCUGAUGUGAAAGCCCCCGGCUCAACCGGGGAGGGUCAUUGGAAACUGGGAGACUUGAGUGCAGAAGAGGAGAGUUGAAUUCCAUGUGUAGCGGUGAAAUGCGUAGAUAUAUGGAGGAACACCAGUGGCGAAGGCUGCUCUCUGGUCUGUAACUGACGCUGAGGCUCGAAAGCGUGGGGAGCAAACAGG